rnacentral:lncRNA from 1 species
AUUCAUUUGAGUUGAGUUGAUUAAAUCUUAGGUUAAACCUAAUUCAAUUAGGUCAACUAUGACUCAAAUCCUAAUCAAAUUAGGUAAAUGACAAUUUGAUCAACCUAAUUUAAACAUGAAUUCUAUUCAAAUUAGAACCAUAAAUUUGAUUUAAUCUAUAAUCAAUAAUUCUAAUCAUAUUAGAAUAAUAAAUUAUAGUUAAACCAAUCCAUCAGUAAAAAAUCUUAAUCCAUGUCUGAUGCAUCCUUUCCAUGAUCAAAAAUUUUUCGGCCCCAC